ACACGCAUGCGCAGUGUAGGUAAUAAGCAUAAAAAUGCCCGCUCAGAGGUUAUAAUGAACUCCAAAACACACGUUUGGACGGAUAUUUUUAAAUCGCCGUUGACAAAAACACCUGUUUUAGUAUAGACUAGGCCUGAGAGGGGCUUUCAGUUUUCCCUCUUUUGUUUUUGUGAUCUUCAUUAGCUGCUAUCCACUUGUCAGCCCUGUCGGAAGUUAGAGGGCCGAGGUGUCAUGGCGGCUACUGGCUAAUGAGAUGUAAACACAGCCGAGCAAGUGGAAAACCGUUGUACAGUUUUUAUGUGUAAUACAGAAAUGGGUGCAGAGUUUAACGACGAGUGACGGACAUAUACGGAUCUAUCCAUGAGUGGACCAGGGAGCAGGAAGGGAACCGGCUGGAGGAGUAGACGUAUCCCGCUCAGCUGUCACUUUGACCGGACUGUUGCCGCCAGUCAGCCGAUAGCCUCACUGGUCACUGUGUCAACCAUCUCCUCAUCCUUCACCCAUGUUCCUGAUGAAAACUAAAGAGAUUGAUCAUUAAAGGGAUGGAUGGAAGAGCGGAUAGAUGGAUGGAUGUACAGGUGGAGGCAUGGGGAAAGACAAACAGAAACACACACCAGUGAACACGCCUCCUCCUCCCACGUAUCUUGUCUCUGAUACAGCAGCUCGGGGAACACGACCCUUCCAAGUUCUGCAGGAUUGAUACCUUAAAACCUCAGAAAUCUUUCGAGACAUCAGCCAGGAGCAGCCUUAAACCCAGCUGGAUUAGCAUGGCUCUUAUCCCGCUCUCUUCCUCCCUGGGGCAUUCCAGCCGGUCGUGUUGGAUGGUCAAAAGACGCCGCGGGCCGUGAUGGUUUCAAUGUCCGCUGCUCUAAAUCCAAAACACCCGCACACACGCUUUAUUCUCCAAUGAUGAUACCGUACUUCUGCCAUGAGCAGUGAUGUUUCAGCAGUGAAGCUGAAAAAAAUGAAGGAUAACAAAUUGAAAAUGUAUGUGGAGGAUUUGAAGGAGCUGCUGUCUGCUGGAUCGUGCACUGCUAUUGUCACAGCAACUCAAUUAUAUGUUCCAAGCAUCCUUUUUUAAAAAAAUUAUCUUAUUUGUCUAUUUAUCGCUCCAUAAGGUCGUUAAGGAGGUUGAGAAUUUGAAAUCUGUGAGAAGCCGAUGGGCACAGCUUCUCUUGUGCUCCCACCAUUACUCUCAAACUGGACAGGACAUUUGUCUUCGAUUAAUUCAGUGUCUUGCUCCAUGCGUCUCUGAAGGGGGGCUGUCAGGAGAAAUCAGUCAGGAUUUAGUAAUCUCCUAAUAAGACGAUGAUUUAUUUCUGAUGAGAGACAGAAAAGACAAUUGCGACCAGCAAAAUGUUCCUCUGGGGUCAGCUGACAGACUAGACAGUGACAUUUGUCAUCAUCUGCGAUGUUCACCUCCAAAAGCUAAACAUACUUAAUGAUGUAAGUUGUAAUUAAAACCACAGCUGUUGCGAUUUGAAAAAAAUUGUAUGCUGUUAUCGCUUUAAAAAAAAACCAAAUGAUUCAGCCCUGUUUGACCCUGAUCCCAAAGCCUAAUUUUUGAACUCCUGUGUGCUCAGACACUUUGAAACAGCAAAAGCUAAAACACUUUUUCUUUUAAAUCUUCAAGGUAAAGGAGUGACUCACAGUCACAUCACUGUUGUGGCUGUGUCUGAAGUGAAGUGUGUGUCUUUGUAAGUAUUGUGUGUGUGUGUGUGUGUGUGUGUGUGUGUGUGUGUGUGUGUGUGAGCCUCCAGAUGGACCUGAACAUGGUGUGGCAGGUGUUCCUGCCAGAGGCGUUGGGUGAGAAGGACAGAUCGUAGCAGCUUUCACACAAACACACUGAAACCUGCACAGAUAAUUCAAGGCCAUGUAAGGAUUCCAGGCAGCUGCUGUCUUUGUGUGUGUCAUAUGUGUUUCGACGUGUGUGUGUGUGUGUGUGUGUUUGUGAAACAGAUUUCAGAGAAUCUACUCCUAUAUGCUCUCUGUGUGUGUUUAUCUGUGGAAAGGACAAAGAAAGAGAGAAGUGACAGAUUUCACAGCAGUGCUUUUAUUUCUUUUCAAGGCUUCAAGGCCGUACAGGCAGCUGGUUGGUCUCCUGCCGUCUUGCCAGAGCUGCCCACAUCCAGAGGACGGCCAUCUUACCCAGCAUGCCUUGGCUGAUCGUACCGGGUAGUAAAGUAAAAACGUCCCUCCGAGAAGUCACAGGCAUAGGAAGAACCACAGUAAUAGUGAGGCGAUGAAGCCUUGAGCCGGGAUCACGGGACAUCAUGCCGGUUUCACCAGUGGGAUGGCUGCUGCUGUCGGGCUGCUUAAAGAAAACUCCAGCUUGCAGGAUUCUGCAAAGGAGCUCAUCCAACGGUGCUGCAGAACAGACCACUCUCAGGCUCUCCCAGCGGCCAGCAUCCCGGUUUGUUCAACAUCUUCAACACACCAGAAAACAGUCAAGAGCAGGAUUGAAGGCCAGUGAUGGUGCUGCAGAGGUCGAUAUCUUUUCAGUCUGUCUUUCAGACCCAAGUGGAGAUCAAGCAUUACCAGAACAGAGGCAAGUGAAAAGCAUGUACAUGCAGUGGUCCUCAACGUUUGUCAUAGCAUCAUCAUCAAGAUAGAGUGGCUACUGCAGAAACAUCUGACCUGGGAAUUAAUCCACCUGUGAGUGAGUGUUUCAAAGAAGGGAAAUGUCUAAUUCUGCAGAUCAGGGUGAGCUGUGCCUCCACAUUCGUUCCCUUUUAAUUUUGCUCCAAUUUAAAAAAGAACAAAAUCCUCCCUCUACAUCCUCCUUCCCUCUGUCCUUCUCCUCACUAACGUAAAACGUUAUCUAGUGAAUUUCAGCUGCAUCACCAUCUUCGUUGUAUCCCAGCUGCUGGGCGAACACAAGCCAUGUGUUGUCCUUGAUCUGGUUGUUGAGUUACUUGUUGGAUGCUGUGUGACCAACUCAGAAGGUUAUUUAUUUAUUUAUUUAUAAUUGGUUCCAGCUAAAACAAGGGAUUUCAUUGGUCAAAUGUAUAUUUCCACAGGCAGAAAUCUGCUAACAUCGAGGUUGGUCCAACUUUUUUAUCUUGUUUUUUGAAAGUCUAACUGGAUGUUGUGUAUUAUGUAUUAUUGCUGACCUGAUUGCAGAAACCUUCACAUUCGAAACUGGUGCUAGAGGGGUGUGUAGAGAGACGUAAAUCGAAAGGCCACCAAGCUGCUGAACUUGACAUUGUUAUUGAGAAUGUGAAAAAAAAAAAAAAAAAACAUAUUCAAACAGUAGAAGAGUGUUUUGUUAUGACUGCAGAAAAAAAAAAAAAAAAAAAAAAGACUUUACUCAAGUCAAACUGAGAAAAAUGUUUUGAAUGUUUGGUUAACAGAGAGAAAACAUUUUUCAUUUCAAACUCCAUAAAAAGUUUGACUUCCACUCCGUUUGCUCCACUCAUAAUAGGAAGGUCCCUGCUGAAGGUACAGCGGCAGAUUAAAAAAUAGUUGAGUCUCGAGACGAUUGAGACGUGCAUUGUGCAGAGGAGUGGAGUGGCCUCGUCUGAGCGCGGCGUUGGUAAUGUUUUGUACACUAACUGUGAGUCUCCAGCGAGCGAACCAGGCCCGCAGCAGAGCGCAGAGUUUGGUUAUGUGUUUACUCUGAAAAUCUCAUCUCCUCUGAAUCAAUACUCCAUUUACCAAGAGCUCACAAGACUCUAGCUGAGUAAGGAGGCUGUGCUCCUCCCUCCCGCUGCUCCCUCCCCUCCUCCUGACUCCUGCUCCUUCCAUCCAGCCGGAUUCCUCCUCCUCUUCCUCCGUUGUUCUCUCCAUCCUACUAUCGCCCUCUCCUCCAUGUUUGCCUUUUUUUAUUUUUGUAUCCCUUUUUGCCCAUUUGUCUCUACGUCCCCUCUUUUUUUUUUUUUUUUUAUGCGGCUUCCAUUUUAUCUUUUCCCAACUCCACCCAUAUAUUUAUAUUUCAUGACUUCAUUACUUUCCUGUUUCCUACAAUUUUGCUUCCUCCUCUCCUCCCUCCAUCUUUGAUUCCUCUCCUCUUCCCCUUCACCUUCCUUAUCUUUACAUCGCUUGUCCAUGUCCAAAUCUCUUUGUACCUCUCCGUCUCUCUUUCCCUUUAACUUCCUCCUCUUUCUCAUCCCUUCCGUUCGGUGUUUCCUCCUCAGUUCCUCCUCCAUCCCUCCAUCUUUUCCUCUCCCCUCCUAAAAACCAAUUUCCCCACAGGUCAUGUGGGGUCUCGUUGUGUGUGUGCGUGUGUUUGUGCGAGUCAAGCGGCAGCUGUAUUAAACACUUACCCUUUUUCCUCUCCUGAGCCGAGACAAUUUAUCCAUAGCUCAGGGCGAGAGGAGCGAAAUGGCUAAAUCACAUUGUGCCAUUAAUUUAAUUAGCUUGUAAUUGACAUUUUAAAUGCUUCACAUUUAAAUUAGCUGGCCUGCCGUCGCAAUGGAAGUCACAGCAACUGAGAAAUUGAUUAAAUCUCAGCAAAGCAGCAGAGAGAGAGAGAGAGAAAAAAAGAAAAGCCUGACAGGGAAAGAGAGCGACACAGAAUCAUACGAGGGUUGUGAGGAUGAAAGAGCUGGAGAGAGGGUAAAGGAAAUCGAGUAGUGAUGAAGAGCAUGAGGAGGGAGAGGAGAGUGUAAAAGAGAGAGAGAAAAAAAAAAGAUUUAGAGAGAGAUACAGUCAGGAAGCGUAGAGAAAGAGAAACCAGAAGAGGGAAGUCAGAGUGUCAGAUGGAGAGAAACUGUUAUCUUCUCCUCUCCAGAUGUUGCAGAGGUAAGAGGUCAUCUGUCCUCCGGCACGUUCAUCCCAAUUAAAUCCCCCAGUCACCGCUGGUUCAGCCAGUGGAGGAGGUGCAGACUACACUUGACACACAAUGCUUGUUGGUGUACGUUAACUCUGCCGCUGCCUGGUCAAUAAAAACCACCGCGGCGGUCCAAAUGUCAACAGUGAAGUUUUUUUUUUUUUUUUUUACGCAGAAGAAAGAUGCAGAGAUACAACGACUCCAUCGUGUUGAACCACAGGAUGUUUUUGUGACGCCACUUUGGUUUAAAUUUCUAAAAAUUGUUGCUGAUUUUUUUUUUCUUUUUUCUUUUACUUGGAUGAGAGAGUUUUUCACAACAUUAGAUAUUGACUCAGACACUGAUUACCAGCGACAAACGUUAUAUAUUGUGAGAUAAUUACUUUUUCAUUUGGUAAAGUCUUUAGGUGACAAACGCGCACUUUGUUGGAGGGAGCAUGAUGAAAUCUGCAAAACGAUUAAGGAAGAAAGAAACCGACAGUAAAUAUGUUCUGUUUUGUUCUGUUCUGUAAAUAUGUUUUGUUUUCUUACGCCGAUGAUGUUGAAAUGUUCAGAGCCACAUCAGCACAUUCAGCUGACAUCUGUUGUCUGUGCAGUGUGUCUGCUGCGUGUCAUGGCUAUCAAACUGCCACACAUGUCAUGACACGACACGAUGUGGCCGUUGUGUUUUUCCCUUGAUGCUUUUAAUUUAAUGAUGCAGAGCUCGCAGCAUGACGAACAUAGUUGUCAGUUCCAGUCCACUCCAUUGUACUUAACAUUAUCAAGUACAAGUGCAAUUUUCAGUUGGAACUACAGAUCAUCAGCAGCAGAUCAGAAAAAGUCGGCGCUGCCACUCUGCUAUCAGAGGACGGUUUGAGGAGCUUUGCAGCAAAAAAGCAUCAGGUGGAAGUUUGUAUUAGCUGCCACCUGCCACUAAUUUGAACUAGAAUCACUGAAAUGUUAUUUAUUUUUUUAUUCUACAGUUGUAAGUGUCAUUAACAGCGAUGUUAUUCACUGUCAGAUGUAAACUGUCGGCACUCGAUCUCCACCAGCUGUGGGAUCAGUUCAGCACGUCAGUCUACCGUAAAUGUGCCUCUUCAAAAUAAUUCACGACGUGAGUGACUGGUCAUAAAAUAAUCCGACUCAAAGUGGCAAAGUGUUUUCUAUCUUUGUGAAUGUAAUAAUUCACUUUUAUGCAAAAUAGAGUUUACUCAAACCGUAAAAGCCUUAUUGGAACAUAACAAAGAUAAACUUUAACAGGAAUUAGAUGAGUUUAAUAGAGAGAGAGCCAGAUGUGCUUUUAUACAGUUCAUAUUAACAGAGGGUGAGAAAAUGAGCAAGUAAGGAAUACAGGAGAAGGACACGUAGAGAGAAUUCAGUAACUAAACAAGAAAAAAAGAGAAAUCUGUAACAGAGGAGAACACUGUGAUGUCAAAAUGCAUCUGCAACACUCACAUAUUGAAUGAAUUGUGAACUUUAUCUAAUACUGAAGUUAUUUUUUCCUUUAUUUUCAGAAGAGGAAUUAAUAUUUGAGCAUGCACAUUUUGCAGUAACCUUCUUUCACUGACGGGACGACUUCUCACAGAGUGUGCAGAACGAAUCAGGCAUCAGACGCUGACGAGAAACUUUUAGCUGAGAGUGCGAGAUGAAAUACAGCCUGAAGCCAUAUUGGAUUUGCCAGAAGAGCUCAGCAUGGCGCUGCAUCAGAUCCCAAAGCCCGACUGCUUCGUCAGCUUCUGUGUAAUUAACCGAGUGGUUAAUGUGCCUAAACCUCACAAACCAAACCGACCACAGCAUUGUCACAACACAGAAUUAAUAAUCGAAAAGCAGCAAUUGAAGGCGUCUAAAUACGUUUUAUAUUUUUCGGUUCUUAUCUCGAGUAUGUCUAUUCUCUGCUACUGUAUCCCUCCCCUCCACAAUCUGGGGCAAAUAUUACACUUUUUACUCUACAUGUAUUUACUUGUUACUUGUGCAACAGUGCAAAAGUUUUAAGUAUGCAGUGGUUUUAGCAGACACUCGGUUAAAGCUCUACAGUGAAUACUGCGACUAAAUAAGCUUCGAUGAAGGACAAAGACAAUCAUAACAGAUUCCCUCUCAUGUCUGAACCUGCCCUGAAUACACCCGGCAGUCCAGAGAGAGGAAACCAUUGAUUUUAGGCCAUCGAUCGAAUUAAUAUGAUCAGCACGGCUCCUGUCAGAUUCUAAUGAGCACUUGUAUGUAUGUGUGUGUGCGUGUGUGUGAGCGAGAGAGAGAGGAAUUGUGAAUUAAUAUGAUUAGUAUGGUUCUCGACAGUGUCGGCGAUGUUUGCGAGACAGAACAAAUGAUAGCGCAGAGUGUGACUGAUAGACAGGGUUACAAUUUAGACGGAAUGAGUGUCGUGAAUUAAUAUGGUUUGGCUCUUCUGAGAGGAGAGAGAUAGUGUGAGUGGCAGUCUGUACGUGUGUGUGUGUGUGUGUGUGUGUGUGUGUGUGCGGUGAAAAUGUGAGUGUGUGUGAAAAUGGAGUGAGUGUGGAAAUACCAGAAUGACUGUUGAUGUCAGCACUUUUCAUCUAUUUUCAAAGGAACCCUUCACACACACACACACACACACACACACGCAGGUAUCCGACUGGUUCCCGAUCUCUCUUUCAUGGUUUUUUAAUUUCUUUCAGCUGCAGUUUUUCAAAGGGAAGUCCGUCACAACGACGACUGUUUGAUCUGCCCGCUGUCACCAGCAGACAGUGGACGGAUCAGAUCAGUAGCUGCUGGGCAAACCUCCAGGGCUGAACAUGCCAAAGUGAUAUUUGUUUAUUUAUUUAUUCAUUUUGUAAUUGCUGCUUGAUUUUUUUUUUUUUUUUUUUUCAAUUUUGAGCACAGACACACUAUGAUAUAACUUUUUGUAUGUGUUUUUGAUGAGAGGGAUCUGAGUGUGCAGCGCCGUCAUCUGAAUAAAAUCUUGGCAGUCAACCUUUUUGCAAACCACAGGAGGUGGAGGGGUGAUCUGAGCAGGCCAGUCAGCGCAGAGCUCACCGCCUCGUGAUCUUUCCACUUCGUGUGCAGAAACCACCUGCGCUGCACCUGGACGACUCCGUCUGCCUACCAGCCAGCCGAGCUCGUCCACUGUUCACCCUUCCAUAACCUCUCUAUAUAUUCCUGUACACCUUAACUACAUCCUCCGAUCUCUGCAUCCAUGUCCAGACAGAAAAAAACUCCAACAUAACAUUGUUGCUAAUAAACAACAGUUAGAAAAUGCUUUACAGUAAGAACAGAGCCGGAUUAAACACAAACCAAAUAAAACGCGCUAGAAACUAAAGGCUUAAAACACAAAGAGCGUAAAAUAGAAUGCAAAUGAAAUGUUCAAUGGCAAGUUUUAAAAAGUGGCUUUUCAAAAAGCGAUUCAGAAGACGAGACUGAGAUUGUGGCCAUGAUCUCCACAAGCAGGUCAUUUCAAAGUCGAAGAGCACUGACUGCAAAAUCUCUGUCACCUUCUGUUUUAUAUAAAAGUCUAGACAACAAGGAAGUAUACAGGAGGAAGCGGGAGGAACAUGUGGCAGUAAAAGAUCUGUUAAAUAACUUGAAUCAAAGUGCUUUGUCGUAAUCAAUGAAAUCCUUAAAUCAAAUCUAGCAGCAACAGAUCUGUGUGGUGUGAUCGUAAUGGCUUUCAGAUGUUUGUCAGAGCGAAAUGGUCUGAUCCUUGAAAUGUCUCUUGAGUUUGUGAAUGCCGUAUUGUUGGUUUUGAACAAAAACGACAACAAUAUUUCUGCAGUGAGUCACUGAAUGGAAGAGAAUAACGAGGCUGUUAGAUAUCUGGGCUUUUGUGCAGGCUCGUCCUGGAGUGAUAACCUCUGUCAGCAUUAAGCUGCAGGAAAUUGUGUGAUAUCCAUCAUGAUGAUGAAUGAGAGUGAGUAUCAGUGUCUAACAGGCAAACAUGCACUUUAAAAGACAAAAUUAAAACAGAUUGAAAUUAA